GAUGAACGCUGGCGGCGUGCCUAAUACAUGCAAGUCGAGCGAACAGAUAAGGAGCUUGCUCCUUUGACGUUAGCGGCGGACGGGUGAGUAACACGUGGGUAACCUACCUAUAAGACUGGGAUAACUUCGGGAAACCGGAGCUAAUACCGGAUAAUAUUUCGAACCGCAUGGUUCGAUAGUGAAAGAUGGUUUUGCUAUCACUUAUAGAUGGACCCGCGCCGUAUUAGCUAGUUGGUAAGGUAACGGCUUACCAAGGCGACGAUACGUAGCCGACCUGAGAGGGUGAUCGGCCACACUGGAACUGAGACACGGUCCAGACUCCUACGGGAGGCAGCAGUAGGGAAUCUUCCGCAAUGGGCGAAAGCCUGACGGAGCAACGCCGCGUGAGUGAUGAAGGUCUUCGGAUCGUAAAACUCUGUUAUUAGGGAAGAACAUACGUGUAAGUAACUGUGCACGUCUGGACGGUACCUAAUCAGAAAGCCACGGCGAACUACGU
rnacentral:rRNA from 1 species